UACGAAGGGGGCUAGCGUUGCUCGGAAUCACUGGGCGUAAAGGGUGCGUAGGCGGGUUUUUAAGUCAGGGGUGAAAUCCUGGAGCUCAACUCCAGAACUGCCUUUGAUACUGAAGAUCGUUGAGUCCGGGAGAGGUGAGUGGAACUGCGAGUGUAGAGGUGAAAUUCGUAGAUAUUCGCAAGAACACCAGUGGCGAAGGCGGCUCACUGGCCCGGUACUGACGCUGAGGCACGGAAAGCGUGGGAGCAAACAGGG
rnacentral:rRNA from 1 species